UUUUUUUUUUUUUUUUUAAAGACUAAAGCUACUUGUAUUGACACAUCUGUAAACAAAAGAACUUCAUAAUAACCCCUUUCCUAUGACACACUCAUCCAAGGAUUUGUCUGCAUUGGAAAAUGUCAUAGGGCAUCAGAAAAGUUUUGUCCUGAGUGUUCAGCUAAGGUGCAUAGCAUAUCUGUGCAGAUGAAAAAAGAGACACUUAGGAUCCAUUUCAAACAUAAGCCCAUUACCUCUGGCAGGCUCUUGCUAAAAUUCUAGCUGCAACUGAAAUGUCCCUGUAAACAAGGUUACUGAGAACAGCCCUAGAUAUUCCUCUCCACAACACUUUCCUACGAGCCCUUCAGCUGUCUGCCAGGUUAGUUAUACCUUAUCUUGCUGCACUGCCAUUCUCAUGCUGAUUCACAUUCAGAACUCAAAAUGAAAGAUGAAAUAUCUUGAAGAUCACUUAAUAUUGAAAUACUGGUGCGGUAAUAAGUGGUGCUCAGUCAGAGACGGGGACAUGGCACUCUCUUGGUAACCUUUUAAUUUCUGGAAAAAUUGUACAGAAUAAAUUGAGCAGCACACACGGAAACCUAAUCGAUUGAUCUGCUCUAUUUUGUUAAAGCAACACCCAUCACAAACUCCCCUGGCUCCCCAGGCAAUUCCCGGUAAAGAAGACCUGCAGGUUUCAGUAUAUACCAUGCACGAGGACUUCGAUGCUAUUUUGAUUUAUUAAAGAAAAGGAACGAUCUUCUAUCUACAUUCAUCACCCCAGUCAAUGGACAGUUUUAUGUGCUGUAUGAUACCAUUCUCGAUAUACACACGUUUAAUUCUACUUAAUGCAAGUUUAAAGAGUUAUGAGAGUUGCUUUAGUAAGAAUAACAAAGCCAUGCGUAACAGACAAAUGUACGCUUAAAAGACCAUCCAGGCCUGCUUCCUUAUACGCUUGAUUCUUUUUCUAUUUGAAGGAGAUGAAACCCCAUCAAUGUCACUUCAUCUCCAUCAGUGUUUUCAUGUCUCUUCUUCCUGUCAGGCAUUCCUCAGCUCGGAUUUGAGAAAUGUUCAAAUUUCCCUCUCUUUCCCACAAUGACAGAACUGUUUCUCAGGUUGGUUAACUCAUUUUGAUAACAUCAAAUCUGCUGGACAGGAAAAAAAAAAAAAAGAGAGAGAGAGAGAGAACCCUGAAAGCACUCCUCAAUCCCAUUUUUCUGUCUUUUUCUCUAAGACAUUUCCGGCUCUUUUUCUCUCUCCUGAUGCUUCUGAAUUUGGGCAUUUUCCAAACACACUCCCCUAUUUGGCCUUUGGGCAGUGUGAGAAAC
rnacentral:lncRNA from 1 species